GAUGAACGCUGGCGGCGUGCCUAAUACAUGCAAGUCGAGCGAACAGACGAGGAGCUUGCUCCUCUGACGUUAGCGGCGGACGGGUGAGUAACACGUGGAUAACCUACUUCUAAGACUGGGAUAACUUCGGGAAACCGGAGCUAAUACCGGAUAAUAUAUUGAACCGCAUGGAUCAAUAGUGAAAGACGGUUUUGCUGUCACUUAUAGAUGGAUCCGCGCCGCAUUAGCUAGUUGGUAAGGUAACGGCUUACCAAGGCAACGAUGCGUAGCCGACCUGAGAGGGUGAUCGGCCACACUGGAACUGAGACACGGUCCAGACUCCUACGGGAGGCAGCAGUAGGGAAUCUUCCGCAAUGGGCGAAAGCCUGACGGAGCAACGCCGCGUGAGUGAUGAAGGUCUUCGGAUCGUAAAACUCUGUUAUUAGGGAAGAACAAAUGUGUAAGUAACUAUGCACGUCUUGACGGUACCUAAUCAGAAAGCCACGGCUAACUACGUG
rnacentral:rRNA from 1 species